GGGGUUGUGGCUCAGUGGUAGAGCAUUCACCUAGCACGUGCAAUGUGCUGGGUUCGAUCCUCAGCACCACA
rnacentral:tRNA from 1 species